CGUGUAGGCGGUCCGGCAAGCGGCGUGUGAAAGCCCGGAGCUCAACUCCGGAAUUGCACACCGAACUGCCGGUCUAGAGGACAGGAGGGGGAUGUGGAACUCUAGGUGUAGCGGUGAAAUGCGUAGAUAUCUAGAGGAACGCCGGUGGCGAAAGCGACAUCCUGGCCUGUUUCUGACGCUGAGGCGCGAAAGCGUGGGUAGCAAACA
rnacentral:rRNA from 1 species